CCUACGGGAGGCUGCAGUGAGGAAUAUUGGUCAAUGGCCGGAAGGCUGAACCAGCCAAGCCGCGUGAAGGACGAAGGUGCCAAGCAUUGUAAACUUCUUUUGUCAAGGGACAAAAUCAGGCUCGAGAGCCUGACCGAGGGUACUUGAAGAAAAAGCAUCGGCUAACUCCGUGCCAGCAGCCGCGGUAAUACGGAGGAUCCGAGCGUUAUCCGGAUUGAUUGGGUUUAAAGGGAGCGUAGGUGGAUUGUUAAGUCAGUUGUGAAAGUUUGCGGCUCAACCGUAAAAUUGCAGUUGAAACUGGCAGUCUAGAGUACAGAAGAGGUGGGGGGAAUUCGUGGUGUAGCGGUGAAAUGCUUAGAUAUAACGAAGAACUCCGAUGGCGAAGGCAGCUCACUGGACUGCAACAGACACUGAUGCUCGAAAGUGUGGGGAUCAAACAGGAUUAGAUACCCGGGUAGUC
rnacentral:rRNA from 1 species